UACGGAGGGUGCAAGCGUUAUCCGGAUUCACUGGGUUUAAAGGGUGCGUAGGCGGGCAAGUAAGUCAGUGGUGAAAUCUCCGGGCUUAGCUCGGAAACUGCCGUUGAUACUAUUUGUCUUGAAUAUCAUGGAGGUAAGCGGAAUAUGUCAUGUAGCGGUGAAAUGCUUAGAUAUGACAUAGAACACCGAUAGCGAAGGCAGCUUACUACAUGUUCAUUGACGCUGAGGCACGAAAGCGUGGGGAGCAAACAGG
rnacentral:rRNA from 1 species